ACCGAAUUGGCUUCUGAGAAGGAUAGCAGAAUCUCUUGUCUUUGUGAGCAAUGGAACAUUGUUCUUCAAUUUGGCAUUAAAUCCACAAAAAAGAUAAAUUCUUUAAGCUCAAGCAUGGCUUAGGUCUAGUUUAAACGAGCAAUCACUGGAGAAAUAUCUUCAUAGCUUCAUUGGGCAUAAACAAUUGCUUUU